rnacentral:rRNA from 1 species
AGUGAACGCUGGCGGUAGGCCUAACACAUGCAAGUCGAACGGCAGCACAGUAAGAGCUUGCUCUUACGGGUGGCGAGUGGCGGACGGGUGAGGAAUACAUCGGAAUCUACUUUUUCGUGGGGGAUAACGUAGGGAAACUUACGCUAAUACCGCAUACGACCUACGGGUGAAAGCAGGGGAUCUUCGGACCUUGCGCGAUUGAAUGAGCCGAUGUCGGAUUAGCUAGUUGGCGGGGUAAAGGCCCACCAAGGCGACGAUCCGUAGCUGGUCUGAGUGGCUGAUCGGCCACACUGGAACUGGGACACGGUCCAGGCUCCUACGGGAGGCAGCAGUGGGGAAUAUUGGACAAUGGUGGCAAACCUUGUCCAACCAGACCGCGUGGGUGAAGAAGGCCUUCGGGUUGUAAAGCCCUUUUGUUGGGAAAGAAAAGCAGCAGGUUAAUACCCCGCUGUUCUGACGGUACCCAAAGAAUAAGCACCGGCUAACUUCGUG